GACUUCUCUUGGCCGGACGAGUGCCGGUAGGCCUUCGAGGAUCUGAAAAGAUAUCUGGCCUCCCCGCCACUGCUUGUAAAGCCAAAAGUUUGAGAAAUACUGUAACUCUACUUGGCAACAUCCCCAGAGGCGGUUAGCUCGGUGCUCGUCCGGAAGAACGAGAGCCGAAUUCACCAACCCAUAUACUACACCAGCAAAUUGCUCCACGAAGCUGAAGCUCGAUACUCAAAGAUGGAGAAAAUGAUAUUCGCCU
rnacentral:lncRNA from 1 species